rnacentral:lncRNA from 1 species
CAACUUUUUGCAGUACCUCUGAUUGGUGAAAAUGAGCAGAACCAGGUUGUUCUUUCAUUUCAUUUCUUUAUUUAUUUCACACAUGGUUCAACAGUGUUUCUUUUUCUACAUACAGAACCUUCUGCCUCUUUUCAGCAGAAAUUCUGCUCAUUCACCUCAUCUCUUGUGUUGGAGUGCCCUCUUGUGGCGCCUUUUGGGUAGUGCCUUAGUAAACGUGAACACUGCAAAGAAGUGGUAUCAGACUGGUUUGUAGUGGAGGAAUUUGUUGCCAGUUUCUUUCAUCUUUAAUCCGUAUUCAUGUUGUAAUGUAGUAACUUUUGGGGCACAAAUACCACAAUAUGGCAGAAACACUAUGUUUUGGCACAAAUACUUUGAUUUGGUAUACUUUACCUUCUUCACCCCUUUUCAGCAAAAUUUUCAUUUUUUUCACCCCUUUUCAGCACAAAUUCCGUUUUUUGGGGCUGUUUUCAGAAAAAAAAAAAACUCUUUUAAGGAGAAACUCUGCUGAUUCAUCUCUUUUCAGCGCAAGUUUCUGCUCCUUUGCCUCUUUUCUGCAGAAAUUCUGCUGAUUCACCUCUUUUCUGCAAAAUUUUCAGCCUUUUCACCUCUUAUCAGCACAAUUCUCAGCAGCUUCUGCUCAUUUCAGCAGAAUUGUCCGUCUCUCCACGUCUUCUUUGUAAGAAUGACUUUGGCUCAG